GAGUUUGAUCGUGGCUCAGAUUGAACGCUGGCGGCAUGCCUUACACAUGCAAGUCGAACGGCAGCACGGGAGCUUGCUCCUGGUGGCGAGUGGCGAACGGGCGAGUAAUGCAUCGGAACGUAUCCUGGAGUGGGGGAUAACGUAGCGAAAGUUACGCUAAUACCGCAUAUUCUGUGAGCAGGAAAGCGGGGGACCUUCGGGCCUCGCGCUCUUGGAGCGGCCGAUGUCGGAUUAGCUAGUUGGUGAGGUAAAGGCUCACCAAGGCGACGAUCCGUAGCAGGUCUGAGAGGAUGAUCUGCCACACUGGAACUGAGACACGGUCCAGACUCCUACGGGAGGCAGCAGUGGGAAUUUUGGACAAUGGGGCAACCCUGAUCCAGCCAUGCCGCGUGAGUGAAGAAGGCCUCGGUGU
rnacentral:rRNA from 1 species